CGAGGGUGCUCAGAGAAGGGACCCAAGGACUGGAACCUCAGGACAGUUGGGAUCUCUGGUCCACAGCUCUCUUGUCUUACCUCCUGCCUGCUCCACUCAGCCAAUGAACAUGAAGGGCAUGGGACUGACUCGAGCUCUCCGUCCAGAUGCAGGAGGGAGGCCAAGCUGGGCAGGAUAGAGUUGGAUGAUGAGUGGGAAGUGUUAGCUCCUCUCUAGUCUCAGCCACUAUAUUGGCCCAACCUCAGGAAUCUCACUUCCCCAGCAGCCUCAGCAAACCUGGUGUUUCUGAGCAGCGAUGACGCUCGGUUAGGCUAUGUUACCUCUCUGUCCAUCUCUCUUCCUGUUAGUCCCCUCUCCUGUCCACUCAUCUAACAGUGUCCCCGUCCAUGUCCCUCUGCACAGGUUUUCUUGUCCCCCACUCCCUCUCCCUGCCCAUUCUUCUUUUACCCUCUGGUCUGGCCUCCCGUACACAGCCACAUGUGGGCGUCCAUUUCUCAGUUCCUGCAGCCGUCCAUCCCAUCUGUUGACAGGCCAACCACACCCAUUCCUCCUCUCUGUGGUUCUUGUCUCCUCCAUCUGCCGGCCGUCGGCUUCUCCUCCAGUGUCCCAUCCAUCCGUCAUCAUGCCCCUACUCUUUCUCUCCACCUUCCUCCGUUCAGUUAUACA
rnacentral:lncRNA from 1 species